CUCAUAUUGCUACCUCUCCUCUUCUUUGAUCUUUGCUUUGGGAGAACAUGGGCUAUCUUUUUCUUUUCUUUUCUCAGGUGGGUAGUAGAUACCCCUAAUUCUACUGUCAGACACUUGUCAAUUUUUUUCCGCUCAAGUGGGCAUCUUUGUACCCCUAAUUCUACUCCGGAAACUUGUCCAUUUUUACCUCUCGUCUCACUCUUUUUCUUUCUUUUUCGAGGUUCCGGGCACUUGCCCCUUUUUAUUUCCUCACAUAUUUUUGCAUAACCCAUGCCUCUUCUGCAUUGAAUUUUUUUAGAGAGAGAAUAACAAUAUUUGGGACAGUGAGUGAUAAUAUUAUUUUUAGCAAUUUUAAUAUAUGGUGGUGAAUGGUGUAGUGGAUGUGUGCAAGUGAAUAUCUUAAUUUAACCACAUGAAAAGCUCCUAAGGGUCUACACAGCUCGAUCAAACUCAAUGUGAAUAUAAGAUGUUAGAGCAAGUAUGGCUGUGGUACAUAGUUUGUAAUGCUAG
rnacentral:lncRNA from 1 species